ACUAGCUAACCUUAGUUCUCUCCCGAAGAAAGGAUGGUUCUGUUCUAUGUACCGGAUUGUAACCACUACUCCGAUAAGCACACGUGCUUUUUAUAAUUUUCCGACCUCUGUGUUGUUGUUUUUAUUGCACUGCUUUGCUUUAUUUGGCCAGGUCGCAGUUGUAAACGAGAACAUGUUCUCAACUGGCUUACCUGGUUAAAUAAAGGUAAAAAAAUAAAUUAAAAAAAGAGGCGUCGCUGGAGUCAUGUGAUAAGUCUUUCAGGCAGGCGGACCAGAAACCCAGUGACAACACUCAGGUCUGCAGCAGCCAUUUUCCGUUGGGAAAGAGAAAUGGCCCUGUUUUUACCAGAAAAGGUAGCUUAAACACCAUGGCAGAAGAGGAAGACUGUUGAUUGGGAAACAAGAACAAAUAAUUAGGCAUGAGGAUUGGGUGUUGAGGGACCACUUGUCACAUUGUCCAAGUCCAACAGGAGUGCACCCCUCAGACCAUCUGGUGCAUGGACAUCCUGUGCCAGUGUGAUAACAUCCUGUGCCAGUGUGAUCCGAACGCAAGCGUCCAGUUGUAGAGACUACAGCAGAUCGAGCCUGUGAACGGACAGACAUGAGGUGUGACAUGCAGAACAUCAGGCUCACUCCACGAGAAGCAGUGUAUGAUCAACGCCACCCUAAGCAAGGAGAUCUGCUGGAAGUGAUGUACUCUCUCACUCUGGGGGUACUGACAGGAGGAGCAAUAUGAGUCUGUCAGAGGUCAUCACGCUGGAUGGGGAUGGAGGCUUUGGUGGUCAACACAACGAAGAAGCAGGUGUCUCUUCUAGUGAUGUGGAGCUGACCUUGGACCUGGUGCCAGUAACGAUGGUCUUCACAGAGGCUGUAAGACUCUCCCUCCUUGAUAUAGAAAUCCUUCGACUUCACUGCCUCUUCAAUGGUAAGGUCCCUUGCACCAUAGGGACACUUGAACUCCACCACUGCUGUGGUGCCCACCAUCCGGUGAGGCACCCAGCAUCCCAGACCCCGUGAUCCAAAGCCCUGACUCCUGCACAUCCAUCCCUGUAGCCAUUUUGAAUGCCUUGAUACCCACCUCUUCGUUAUCUGUGCCCCACUUUACAGACAACACCUCAUCCAACGACUGUGAUCUGAGGACCCUUUUUAGCAGUGAUGGAGUAACAUGCUUGGCCCUAACCACUGCUCCAUAAUUGCUGGCCGUCAACCACUCUCUCCUCGUGGGGCGACAGGUAGCUUAGUGGUUAAGAGCGUUGUGCCAGUAAUCGAAAGGUUGCUGGUUCUAAUCCCCGAGCCGACUAGGUGAAAAAUCUGUCGAUGUGCCCUUGAGCAAGGCACUUAACCCUAAUUGCUCCUGUAAGUCGCUCUGGAUAAGAGCGUCUGCUAAAUAAAACAUAAAAAAAAAAAAUGGUGUGCUAGUUGGGGUUGUUGCACUGUCCAACUGUUUUUUAAAAUAUUUUUGCCUACCGUAUAGCCUCCUGCUGCUCCACCAACAGCACCAUGCCAGCCUGCAUGCCCCAGGUGCCCUUGUUUUUUAACAAUGUCCGGUACAGACAGGGAUGACAAAGAGGGUAGCGGUUGUUCUGCCUCAGGUUCAAAGAGACAUGCCAUUUCACUGAACCUGCCCGGAGACGGUUCCUUAGCCACUGAAGAUCCUCCUUUGUGGGCUCUCAGGAGAGAGGGUUGUAGUCUUCUGCCAGGUACAGGUCCUCCACUGACUGCACCUGGUUGGGUACGGCUGGCUUCCUCCACUCGCAUUCCACAUCCGUACGGCUGAUAUUGUGAACCGCCAAAAUAGGCUGCAUGGCUACACUUAUGAGCUCCACAGAGGCAUUCGCAUGUGGUAGAGAGAAUCCCCUGGUCACCUAUAGAGAUCUGCCAAAAGGAAGGAUGUUAAGUGCCACAUGCCUUUCAAUGCAUGACUUUGAACACCUUGAAAUGCAUUAGUUGUAAGAAAUGUGCUAUAUAAAUAAAGAUUGAUGACAUUUCAGCUGUAGAAUAUUUAAUAAACUGUGAUUUUCACAUGAGGACAAGUACAAUUUUUCCGUAAACUUUUAAUUGAUAACUUAGGAAUUUAUCACUUGACAUUUCAACCAUAUAGCAGGAAGGAUCCUAUAAAUGAAGACUUUGUGAAUGCAUGUACCACUCCGAAUAAAAU